rnacentral:rRNA from 1 species
UACGAAGGGGGCUAGCGUUGUUCGGAUUUACUGGGCGUAAAGGGCGCGUAGGCGGAUUUUUAAGGUCAACGGGGUGAAAUCCCAAAGGUCUCAACCUUCGGAAUGCUGCCGUUUGAUACUGGGGGAUCUUGAGUCCGGGAGAGGUGAGUGGAACUGCGAAGUGUAGAGGUGAAAUUCGUAGAUAUUCGCAAGAACACCAGUGGCGAAGGCGGCUCACUGGCCCGGAACUGACGCUGAGGCGGCGAAAAGCGUGGGGAGCCAACAGG